rnacentral:lncRNA from 1 species
UCACGGGCACAGGGCUGACAGGACGGAUGGCAGGCGCUGGUCUCUGGCAUCACUGCCCUCCUCUGGAUAUGGCACCAACACACCCAGCUCCACCGUCUCGGUGAGUGUGUGUGUGUGUGUGUGUGUGUGUGUGUGUGUGUCAGGCAUCGAGGCAUUCAGUUACUGUUCGAUUAAACGUUAGAAUGGUCAAAACAAGUGACCUAAGUGACUAUGAGCGUGGUAUGAUCGCCGGUGACAGGCGCGCCGUUUCUAGUUUCUCUGAAACGGACGGCUCCCUGGGCUUUUCACGUACAACAGUGUCUAGGGUUUACUGAGAUUGGUACGGAAAAAAACCCCACAUACAGUCCUGUCUAGGGAUGCACGAUAUAUCGGUGAACAUAUCGGAAUCGAUAUUAGCUAAAAAUGGCAACAUCUGCCCGAUGUCUAGUUUAACGCCGAUGUGCAAAACCGAUGUCAAAGCUGACGUGCAUACCUAUAUAACGUAGGUACAUGACGUAAUGACGCCACGUAAUAUUUAGCGCUACAUGUGCAUCACAGCAUUCCUAACCUAGUCCACAAUGUAUGCUGUGUGGAUUGAGCAGUCAACAAGUCGAGCAGUCAUUUGAAAGAGUAAGAAAAUGUCAGCAAGACAACUCAAAGAAGAAAUCCAAGAUAAUGGAAUUCAUUGCCCUUGACAAUCAACCGUUCUCUGUCGUGGGUGAUGUUGGCUUUCGCCGACUGGUUGAACACCGGUACACAUUAUCAAGUGCGCUAUUUUUCAGAUGUUGCACUACCUGAGUUACACAGAAAUAGCGUCACUGCUAUUAGCUUCAUGACUGACAUUUGGACCAGCGAUAUCAGCCCCAUGAGCAUGCUGAGUCUGACAGCACAGUGGGUCGUUGAGGAUUUUGUACUAAGGAAAGUCAUAUUGCAUGCUCAUGAAUGUGCUGGUUGUCAUACCGCUACUGCUACUGCCAUUUAAAUUGUAUUUGAGAACAUGUUUGAAACAUGGAAACAUGAACACACUAACUAGCUCCAUUCGAACAACUGACUCGAGAAAUAAGCUCAUCAACUGCGCCUGCAGCAGAUGUGAUACGCUCUGUCAUGGCAUUGAAACGCCUGCUCAGCAAAACUGCCGACAGACUGUGAACAAGCGAUUCGGUGGCAUUCUCGUUUUACUGUGUCGCCACCAUGCUCGAUGCCAUGUACAAGGACCGCUACUUCGAUGCAGACAAGAAACAGGGUUUAUGUGAAAUGUUACAUACACAGCUGGACAAGAUGGAAUCGGACACAGUGACAGUGCGCACCGAGGAAGAGAGGCCACGGACAGACAGAGCUGAAACUUCACUGCUUGACAUGUAUGAUGAAAUCCUGGUUGAGAAUGAAACAACUGAACAAAUGAACAACGAAACAGCACAGCAAGUAAGUGAAAGAAAGAGGUUUUGAUUAUGUUUUACUGGUAAUGGGGACAUAUGUAAAUGCCAACAAAAUAACUUUUUGGUCAGUGUGGUGUGUGUGUAACCUUUAUUUAACUAGGCAAGUAAAAUUCUUUUUUACAAUGACGGCCUACCCCGG